AGAGUUCCUCAUGCUAUCAGUAUAGCAUUGACACUUAAUACCUUUCGUAUCGAUAAUAGGAUCAACACCCGACUCCUGCUUGCCUUUACGUUCUCAUUUUGUGCAUUGCAAGUGUAAUUAACACGCACAGCAGAGGGCACUGUUGCUUCAUAAACCCCGGACGUCAAUAUUUGGCCUCAACAGGUGAAGACAGUCAGGGUGGGCACCCCGACAGUAAUCUGGAAGCCAACUAGCACGUUGUCAACGUCAUUGGUCCCGCCAGACCCUAGCUCCAGUGGCCCCAAGUAAAUUGAGUUUGAGACCCCUGCUCUACGCCAUCACUGCCGGGUUAGGCAACAAUAACAGAGUGGCGGUGCUGGUGACCCACCUUCUGCUUUGAUGACAGGACGCCGACCUCCUCACUUCCAUAAGGAAACAAGGCCAAGGGAGGGACAACAUGCUCUUGUUCUCUCCAAAUAUGAAAAAAGGAGCUGCUCCCGUGGGAGGAAGCACGGCAGUCCUCAUCUGAGAGAAUGACUGAGCACCAACGCCCUCCUCCUCCUCCUCCACCCAGAGCAUGGAAAUUGUUUUACGCCGCCAAUUAAUGUAGGUCAUCGAACAAGUUAUUACUCGACCACCAGUGAAGCACAAAGUUUUCCUUUGAAAGCUGCGGAAGUGACAAAGAAAAAGGAAGUGGAUGAAAAUGAUGCAUACCAUCAGGUGCCGGGAGUCCAGAGAUGCUGUCCUGCAACAGGCAUCGUCUGAAUGUCAGCGCCUGGCACGCCUGGUAAGACAGCACACACCUGGACAGGCCAAGAGAAAGGUCUUAAAGCUGGCUGACACGCACACACACACAAGACAACAAGCAUGAUGCGUGUGUAAAUGUCAAAAAAGGAAAUGGCAUGAUAGCAGCACUGUGAAGGUAAAUAAAUAGUCAUUCACUCUUGUGUACCUACCUGAACCACAUGUGACCAUUUUCACACACUGCUUGUUUGUGAUCGGUGAAGGGCAGCACAUCCUGACAUAAGCUGCAGUGCUCCUGGAACGUCUGCUUGUGCAUUUUUUUCUUGAUGUGACCAAUCAGGAUCUAAAAAGCCAGAGACAACAAUAAACACAAGUUUUAUCGUACUUUCAGGCAAUGAGCCAGACAGGGCACGCCACUAAUACAUUAGGACCGCCAUAAAUAAAUCAGGCUCUACUGGUUUUCCCUUGUUCAUA